rnacentral:misc_RNA from 1 species
GCCAGGGCAUUUUUUGUGUUUGGUGAUUCACUUGUUGAUAGUGGAAAUAAUAAUUAUUUGGCUACUACUGCAAGGGCUGAUUCACCACCUUAUGGUAUUGAUUAUCCAACACGUAGAGCAACUGGUCGUUUCUCUAAUGGCUACAACAUUCCUGACAUUAUCAGUCAACAAAUUGGUUCAUCAGAGUCACCACUACCUUACUUAGAUCCAGCUCUUACUGGACAAAGACUUCUUGUUGGUGCUAACUUUGCAUCUGCUGGAAUUGGAAUACUAAAUGACACUGGAAUCCAAUUUAUUAAUAUUAUUCGAAUGCCACAACAAUUGGCUUAUUUUAGACAAUAUCAAAGUAGAGUAAGUGGCCUUAU